UAGGGAAUCUUCGGCAAUGGACGAAAGUCUGACCGAGCAACGCCGCGUGAGUGAAGAAGGUUUUCGGAUCGUAAAACUCUGUUGUUAGAGAAGAACAAGGACGUUAGUAACUGAACGUCCCCUGACGGUAUCUAACCAGAAAGCCACGGCUAUCUACGUGCCAGCAGCCGCGGUAAUACGUAGGUGGCAAGCGUUGUCCGGAUUUAUUGGGCGUAAAGCGAGCGCAGGCGGUUUCUUAAGUCUGAUGUGAAAGCCCCCGGCUCAACCGGGGAGGGUCAUUGGAAACUGGGAGACUUGAGUGCAGAAGAGGAGAGUGGAAUUCCAUGUGUAGCGGUGAAAUGCGUAGAUAUAUGGAGGAACACCAGUGGCGAAGGCGGCUCUCUGGUCUGUAACUGACGCUGAGGCUCGAAAGCGUGGGGAGCAAACAGG
rnacentral:rRNA from 1 species